UACGUAGGGUGCAAGCGUUGUCCGGAAUUAUUGGGCGUAAAGAGCUCGUAGGCGGCUUGUCGCGUCGGCUGUGAAAACCUAGGGCUCAACCCUGGGCCUGCAGCCGAUACGGGCAAGCUAGAAUUCGGUAGGGGAGACUGGAAUUCCUGGUGUAGCGGUGAAAUGCGCAGAUAUCAGGAGGAACACCGGUGGCGAAGGCGGGUCUCUGGGCCGAUAUUGACGCUGAGGAGCGAAAGCGUGGGGAGCGAACAGG
rnacentral:rRNA from 1 species